rnacentral:sRNA from 1 species
GCAGGGUGUGGUGGUGCACACCUGUAAUCCCAGCUACUCAGGAUGCUGAGGUAGGAGGAUUACAAGUUUAAGACCAGCCAGUGAAAUUUAGCAAGACCCUGUUUUAA